rnacentral:rRNA from 1 species
UGGGGAAUGAUUGCACAAUGGGCGGAAGCCUGAUGCAGCAACGCCGCGUGAGUGAUGAAGGCCUUCGGGUUGUAAAGCUCUGUCUUUUGGGACGAUAAUGACGGUACCAAAGGAGGAAGCCACGGCUAACUACGUGCCAGCAGCCGCGGUAAUACGUAGGUGGCAAGCGUUGUCCGGAUUUACUGGGCGUAAAGGAUGCGUAGGCGGAUUUUUAAGUGAGAUGUGAAAUACCCGGGCUUAACUUGGGUGCUGCAUUUCAAACUGGGAAUCUAGAGUGCGGGAGAGGAGAAUGGAAUUCCUAGUGUAGCGGUGAAAUGCGUAGAGAUUAGGAAGAACACCAGUGGCGAAGGCGAUUCUCUGGACCGUAACUGACGCUGAGGCAUGAAAGCGUGGGUAGCAAACAGGAUUAGAUACCCUGGUAGUCCACG